CCGCCACCGGCACGGCAUCCACCUCCGCCUCCUCCUCCUCCGCGGCCACGGCCUCCACCUCCUCGGGACCCCGCCACACCACCCCUUCAACAGCAACAACGACAAACACCGCCUCGGCCUCCUCCACAUCCUCGAGGUCCAGCCGCUCCAGCCUCGCCGCAGCGCGCGCCUCCCUCCCGGACCAGCCCGUCCUCUACUCCUUCCAGGAGCUCACCGCCGCCACCAACAACUUCCUCGCCAAGCGGGGCUCCUCCGACACCUUCUGGCGCUGCUCCCUCCGCUCCCGCCCCGCCGCGCUCUUCCAGCUCCGACCGCUCCCGCUCCUCACGCCCGCGGCCACCUCUGCCGCGCUUGCCCGUGUUGCGCUCUACCACCACGCCAGCCUCGCGCGCCUCCUCCCCGCCGGAUCCGCUACGGCCGCAAGUUAGGCCAAGAAACAGGGAGUGAAUCAAGCAACUGAAUCCUUCAAUGUGAAUCAAGCUGUGACAGCAAGUCAAUUUGCAACUCCUCGUCCUACACCAGGCUACUCCUAUAACAAGCUACAACAAGUACAUCUAAAGCAAGCUCUGGAGUAACUGGAU